rnacentral:lncRNA from 1 species
UAUAAAUUAAUAUAGUUCUAAGCUUUUCUAAGCUUCUCCAUAUGUACUAUUAUGUUACACAUAUCACGAUGAGUCGGUUGUGAUAUACUUUCUGUAAUACCAACGGAAACAUAGGAAUAUAUUUCUAUAGAUUUUUAUCCUAACUCUAUUUUAUUGAUGUGUUACUUUUUUUUUGACAUUUAAUACAUACACUACAACAGAAUUAGGUUAUAGAGACACAUGUUUGGGACACUUUUGAAUAAGUGUCCCAUUUAUGCUAAAACUUAAAAAAAAAACAUCUACUAAUGCCUAAAUAUAAAGCCCAAUCCAAUCAAAAAUAAAAGAUUACUCUACUCAACCCACCACACCCAGUCCAUUUGGCCCGAUUACAAACAGAAAAGAAAAAAAAAAGAAAAAUCAGUUAUCAUCUUUUCUUCUCUCUUUACUCAAUACACUGAAAUUCUAGACGAAGAGCCUUUCCUGUCGUUCUCCUCCGCCACCGCAGCCAACGAGAUAGAGUUUCGGCGGUUGCUAAAUUGUCACGCCCCGGGGUCCCUUUUAGUUUAAAACAUAGCGGAAAAGCGUCUGAAAUUUUUUUUUUUUUUUUUUGAAAAGCCUGACCCCAGAGUAUGCCAGAUCCGCCACAAACACAGGGAAUCCACUGUUCACACGGACAGAGUCUCCCUUGUAUUUGCACGACGUCACACAAGUACAAGAAGUAACCCAGGUACAACCACAACUAAAUGAACAGACAAAUAACCAACAAUUAUAUGUUCAUACACCAUUCACAUCACAGGUUCAUAUUUAUAUAUUCGAUAUUUAAACAUAAAUUCACAUCUAUCAGUUAAAAUGUUUCCAACCACAGAAACAGGUUUUGAAAUACUAAGAUGCAAAAUCCACAGAAAAUCUUUUGAAAACUGUUUCCUACACGGAAAUCUUUAUUCUUUAAAAACGCUACCACGAGGGGUAGAAAAUCUUUUAUUUUACAAAAUCCAGAAAUCCGUUUAUUACAUUCAUGAAAGUCCACAUUUUCAAAUGUAAUAAAAAUACUGAACCAUAUAACUAUCUAAGCUAUAACAACUGAAAUAAUAAGGGUAAUAACUAUACCGAAAUAACCUGGGUCGGAAGCUCUAUCGACCG